CAGCAGCCGUGCAGCUUUUAUAAAAUGAGUACAGUCAGUCUUUUUGGGACUCUGUUAAAACCAGAGAAGCGUUUGAAUGGGAACAGACGCUCUGGCAACGUCUUCUCCAGCCAGACACUUAACCCCACAGUCUCUGUUUGAACUUGCGCUUGAUAAAGUGUGCAGUGUGGCGUCUCCGAGAUCACAACCGAGCGCCGCGCGGCUAAACCGUUCUUCAUGGAGCAGUUUCACUCGAGGUGUUCUGUACAAAUAACUCGUUUAAAAUCAUUUUUAACCAUAAAAUGGAUAAUUACAGCACUAAACGUGAUUUUUUUUUCAGCACGGGCUUGUUUCCGUGCCUGCGUUUACUGGAGAGUUUAAUCAGCAUCGAAAGCCUUUCGUAAAAGCUCAGACUCGUUAUGAACGAUCAUCUGACGAAUACUCAGACUCGUUUUUAAAAACUACGAUUUAUUAUAAAUAGGGCUCAAACACUCAGACUGGUUAUGAAACAUCUGACUGGUUAUUAAACCUCAGAUCCGCUAUGAAUAUCGUCUCCGUGAUGACUCAGAAUCAUUAUAAACACCAGGCCACUUGACAAAGACUCGGACUCGUGAAUACACAGAGGCUUUAUGAAGACUUGGAGGCAUUGUGAAGGCUCGGAGUCGUUAUAAACAUUAGACUACAUGAUAGAAACCCAGCUAUUAUCAAGACUCAGACUGAGGACUAAGACUAUGACGAUUAAGACUUAUUAUAACGACUAAGAUUCAUUAUAAAGAAAAGGCCAGAUCAGAAGAAAGAGACUCAUUAUUUAGACACGGCUUCGUUAAAGAAUAAAUCUCAUUAUGAAGACUCACACUAAUUGUGAAGAGAAGUCCAUGUGACUCAUUAACAUUAAUCCAUAUUAUAAAAAUUCAUGCUCAUUAUGAAGACUAGGAUCCAUCACACCAGGCCAUAUAAUAAAAACAAGUCAGACUCGUUAUGAAGACUCGUAUGAAGACUCGGACUCGUUAUGAAGACUCAAUAUUCGUUAUGAAGACUCAGACUCGCUAUGAAGACUCGGACUCGCUAUGAAGACUCAAUAUUCGUUAUGAAGACUCGACUCGUUAUGAAGAUCAGACUCGCUAUGAAGACUCAAUAUUCGUUAUGAAGGCUCAGACUCGCUAUGAAGACUCAGACUCGCUAUGAAGACUCGGACUCGCUAUGAAGACUCAAUAUUCGUUAUGAAGACUCGGACUCGUUAUGAAGACUCGGACUCGUUAUGAAGACUCGGACACGUUAUGAAGACUCAAUAUUCGUUAUGAAGACUCAAUAUUUGUUUUGAAGACUCAGACUCGCUAUGAAGAGUCCGACUCGUUAUGAAGACUCAAUAUUCGUUAUGAAGACUCGAUAUUCUUAUGAAGACUCGGACUUGUUAUGAAGACUCGGACUCGUUAUGAAGACUCGGACUCGUUAUGAAGACUCGAUAUUCGUUAUGAG
ensembl:lncRNA